GUGGGGAAUAUUGGAUAAUGGGCGAAAGCCUGAUCCAGCCAUGCCGCGUGUGUGAAGAAGGUCUUCGGAUUGUAAAGCACUUUAAGUUGGGAGGAAGGGCAGUAAGUUAAUACCUUGCUGUUUUGACGUUACCGACAGAAUAAGCACCGGCUAACUUCGUGCCAGCAGCCGCGGUAAUACGAAGGGUGCAAGCGUUAAUCGGAAUUACUGGGCGUAAAGCGCGCGUAGGUGGUUUUGUAAGUUGGAGGUGAAAUCCCCGGGCUCAACCUGGGAACUGCCUCCAAAACUGCAUGACUAGAGUACGGUAGAGGGUAGUGGAAUUUCCUGUGUAGCGGUGAAAUGCGUAGAUAUAGGAAGGAACACCAGUGGCGAAGGCGACUACCUGGACUGAUACUGACACUGAGGUGCGAAAGCGUGGGGAGCAAACAGGAUUAGAUACCCCGGUAGUCC
rnacentral:rRNA from 1 species